rnacentral:lncRNA from 1 species
UGCCCGCGCUGCGGGCUCGCCUCAUGUCUCGCCGCCGCUACGGAAGCGCGGGCGCAGGCGCGUCACUCCCCCAUGUCAGCGGCGCGCCGCGUCCCCGCAGGCCAAGCCGUCCCCGCCGCUAGCCCGGGCUAGGCAGGCAGGUCCACGCGCGCUGGGCGGGACUAGGCCGCGGGCUGUUCCGGUAGCGACGGUCUAGGGAGGCAGGGCCGGCAGGGACGUUGCCAGGCCACGUCAUCCGGCCCAGCAACCCUCACUCCCGAGGGAGUGACCAAGCCUGCGCCUGCGCGCCGGUGAACGCGAGUCUUCCCUCGGGCUCCUCCCAUCGCAGAGACCGCCCGAGUCGCCCCGCCCUCCACCAGCGUCUCCUAGAGAAGCCCUGUGCACACUUACCCGUCCCUGCAGCGCCACCUACGGUCCAUCUCGGGUAUAGCGGGUUCUCGCUGUGCGUGGAAUGGACCGUCCCUUAGAAUAAAUGUACGUAGUUAUUACUAAACAGAGCUUGCCAGUUUUAGCCCUUUGCGUUAGGGUUCUUCUUUUUCAUACAGCCUCAUUCUGUAGCCCAGGUUGGCCUAGAACUCAGCAUGUAGCUCAGGCUAGCCUCCAACAUGCUGCAAUACUCACGUUUCAUACACCGGAGUGCUGAAUCGGCUGGCAGGAGCCACUUCUAGGCACGGCUAACUCCAAAUAAACAUUUUUUUUUUUUCUAUGAUGAGAACACUAAAAGGCUUUUAAAGUGCCUGUGACUCCCACGAAGAGGUUGAGCCUUUAGGUCUUCUGCCUGGAAUCUUGUGUGGCUGUUUUCUGUCCAGUGAUCUUUCUCCAUGGCAUUCUUGCAAGCUAACAGGAGAUGUGUGAUCAGAGAUGAAACAGCUGGUCUGGAGCCGCACAGAGAGCUGGGACCAGAGCUGAGGUAUGGAGCCGGAUCUCCUGCUUUCCAACUUGGUGCUUCUUGUGGAUACCCCAUGGCUUCUGGGCGUGUCUGCUCUCUAGCUCGUCAUUUUACUUUUCUGCCUAUCUGCGGUGGCCUAAAUCUCUACUGCCAUAGCACACACAUUCACAAGAUUAAAUUGUUUUUGCUAUUUGAGAAAACACACAGUGUAAUACUAAAACGGCACAAGAGGGCACACACUUGCAAUAAAAGUCUCCUUCAUCCUCCUGUCCUUCAGCUUUCCAGUUCAUUCUCUCUCUCUCUCUC